GGCUACGUAGCUCAGCUGGUUAGAGCACAUCACUCAUAAUGAUGGGGUCCCCCGUUCGAAUCAGGGCGUAGCCACCA
rnacentral:tRNA from 1 species